AAUGAACGCUCUUUGCGUGCUUAACACAUGCAAGUCGAACGGUAACAGGAGGAAGCUUGCUUCCUUGCUGACGAGUGGCGCACGGGUGAGUAAUGCAUAGGUAACGUGCCCCUUAGUCUGGGAUAGCCACUGGAAACGGUGAUUAAUACUGGAUACUCCUUCUUCCUUAAUGGAAGUUGGGAAACUUUUUGGCUAAGGGAUCGGCCUAUGUUGUAUCAGGUAGUUGGUGAGGUAAUGGCUCACCAAGCCUAUGACACAUAGCGGGUCUGAGAGGAUGAUCCGCCACACUGGUACUGAGACACGGACCAGACUCCUACGGGAGGCAGCAGUGGGGAAUAUUGCACAAUGGACGAAAGUCUGAUGCAGCAACGCCGCGUGGAGGAUGACACAUUUCGGUGCGUAAACUCCUUUUAUAUGAGAAGAUAAUGACGGUAUCAUAUGAAUAAGCACCGGCUAACUCCGUGCCAGCAGCCGCGGUAAUACGGAGGGUGCAAGCGUUAUUCGGAAUCACUGGGCGUAAAGGGUGCGUGGGCGGUUUGAUAAGUCUGAUGUGAAAUCCUAUGGCUCAACCAUAGAACUGCAUUGGAAACUGUCAAACUAGAAUACUGAAGGGGCAGAUGGAAUUAGUGGUGUAGGGGUAAAAUCCGUAGAUAUCACUAGGAAUACCGAAAGCGAAAGCGAUCUGCUGGGAAGUUAUUGACGCUGAGGCACGAAAGCGUGGGGAGCAAACGGGAUUAGAUACCCCGGUAGUCCACGCCCUAAACGAUGAAUGCUAGUCGUCGGAAAGCUCCGUCUUUUCGGUGAUGCAGUUAACACAUUAAGCAUUCCGCCUGGGGAGUACGGUCGCAAGAUUAAAACUCAAAGGAAUAGACGGGGACCCGCACAAGUGGUGGAGCAUGUGGUUUAAUUCGAAGAUACGCGAAGAACCUUACCAAGCCUUGACAUUGAUUGAAUCCCGUAGAGAUACAGGAGUGCUAGUUUACUAGAACAUGAAAACAGGUGCUGCACGGCUGUCGUCAGCUCGUGUCGUGAGAUGUUGGGUUAAGUCCCGCAACGAGCGCAACCCUCGUCGUUAGUUGCUAACAGUUCGGCGGAGCACUCUAGCGAGACUGCCUUCGCAAGGAGGAGGAAGGUGAGGACGACGUCAAGUCAUCAUGGCCCUUAUGGCUUGGGCUACACACGUGCUACAAUGGGGCGUACAGAGAGUUGCGAUACCGCGAGGUGGAGCUAAUCUCAUAAAGCGUCUCUCAGUUCGGAUUGGACUCUGCAACUCGAGUCCAUGAAGCUGGAAUCACUAGUAAUCGUAGAUCAGCAAUGCUACGGUGAAUACGCUCCCGGGUCUUGUACUCACCGCCCGUCACACCAUGGGAGUUGAUUUCACCCGAAAUCGGGAAGCAAACCUUCGGGAAGGGGCCGCUUCCGGUGGAAUUAGCGACUGGGGUG
rnacentral:rRNA from 1 species